CGGUUAGAAGACCGACACAAAACUUUGAUGGAGUUGACUGAAGAUUGGUAUUGAUGGUAACUGCAAAGGCUUUGUUUAUCGACAGUUAUGCGCAUACGGCGUUGCUAUUCGAAUAUAAUACGAUAAUACUGAUAAUUGAUCAACGAUGAAUGAAUUCAAAAAUGACAUCAAAACCCAGACUCUCCAUCUUGUACUUUCAAGGGCUUCAACUACGUCUUUAUUCAGCCUUGACCCGGUUACCCAGAUUAAUAGUCUGGCAACAGUAUCGUCUGGAUCGAGAUGCACCAGGAAAACCAUGCAGCCAUUCAGUGACCUAACUUUCAGUUUCAAUUCUCCGGGUUUACCGGUCGGCUCAUUUAUCUGAUAAGAAAGCGGCUCCUGCAGGAAGAAGAAAGAUCGCUUGACUUGUGAGUUUUAUUAUCGUUCCCUAUCCAUACCAGUCCAUAGUCAGCCAAGAAUUUCUGUGAGGGUCGAGAAAGGAUGGGGACUUAAUAAUGAUGCGCAUUCUUUGAAGAAAAUUAUAAUUUUCUGCUCCGCAAACCUCCAUUUCAUAAAUUUGAUGUUCGAGCAUCAAACAACGUUUGUAAAGUCAGCUUUGCGUCCGCUUUUGACAUUAUCACCUGCAUUCGAUGCAUCUGACUUUCGGCAAGGUACAACUUCUUGCUAAGGACUCCCAUCAAACCGCUUCCUGCAUGCAGCAGCGUUGAUAUAUGCGCUGCAAUUAGCUGCCAACAACAAUUGUGGCGUCGGAAUUUCUGCUGUUUUCCCCGCAUUAUUGGUAUGAUGUUUAUUUUUCUCGUUCGAAGUAAAGCCAAUGAUCUGUGAACGAGAACUCGAUAAGAGAAAAUAUUC